rnacentral:rRNA from 1 species
GAUGAACGCUGGCGGCGUGCCUAAUACAUGCCAGUCGAGCGAACGGACGAGAAGCUUGCUUCUCUGAUGUUAGCGGCGGACGGGCGAGUAACACGUGGAUAACCUACCUAUAAGACUGGGAUAACUUCGGGAAACUGGAGCUAAUACCGGAUAAUAUUUUGAACCGCAUGGUUCAAAAGUGAAAGACGGUCUUGCUGUCACUUAUAGAUGGAUCCGCGCUGCAUUAGCUAGUUGGUAAGGUAACGGCUUACCAAGGCAACGAUGCAUAGCCGACCUGAGAGGGUGAUCGGCCACACUGGAACUGAGACACGGUCCAGACUCCUACGGGAGGCAGCAGUAGGGAAUCUUCCGCAAUGGGCGAAAGCCUGACGGAGCAACGCCGCGUGAGUGAUGAAGGUCUUCGGAUCGUAAAACUCUGUUAUUAGGGAAGAACAUAUGUGUAAGUAACUGUGCACAUCUUGACGGUACCUAAUCAGAAAGCCACGGCUAACUACGUG